rnacentral:lncRNA from 1 species
UAGAGUUACUUCUUCACCACAAUACUCUAUCGCCAAAAAUAGAACUAUAAAAGAAAUUAAACCUCCAAAGAAGUAUGGCAAGGCUGAUCUAGCUGCUUAUGCUUUAUAUGUGGCUGAAGAUGUAGAUGCAAACCAAGAGCUAUCUAAUUAUUCUGAGGUGGUUAGCUUUGAAGACUCAGAAAAGUGGAUUUUGCUAUGCAAGAGGAGAUGAAUCACUCCACAAAAACAGAAUACAGGAUCUUGUGAAACUUUCUAAAGGGAAAAAGGUUGUUC